UUUAAAUGGCCGCAGUACCUUGACUGUGCUAAGGUAGCAUAAUCAAUUGGCUUCUAAUUAAAGUCUGGAAUGAAAGGAAAAAUGGGGUAAUUCUGUCUUAAGGAAUUUUUUUUGAAUUUAUUUAAAUGAUGAAAAUAUCAUUUUUUAGAAAAAAGACGAGAAGACCCUUAGAGUUUUCAAUUUUUUUUUGUUGGGGCGACAAGUAAACAAUUAAACUUUACUAGUGUAAUAAAUCGAUUUUUUAUAAGAAUAAUUAAACUACCUUAGGGAUAACAGCAUUAUAUAUUUUAUGAUUGUGACCUC
rnacentral:rRNA from 1 species